rnacentral:rRNA from 1 species
ACGAACGCCUGGCGGUUAGCUAAUACAUGCAAGUAGAACGNCUGAAGGAGGAGCUUGCUUCUCCGGAUGAGUUGCGAACGGGUGAGUAACGCGUAGGUAACCUGCCUGGUAGCGGGGGAUAACUAUUGGAAACGAUAGCUAAUACCGCAUAAGAGUAGAUGUUGCAUGACAUUUGCUUAAAAGGUGCAAUUGCAUCACUACCAGAUGGACCUGCGUUGUAUUAGCUAGUUGGUGGGGUAACGGCUCACCAAGGCGACGAUACAUAGCCGACCUGAGAGGGUGAUCGGCCACACUGGGACUGAGACACGGCCCAGACUCCUACGGGAGGCAGCAGUAGGGAAUCUUCGGCAAUGGACGGAAGUCUGACCGAGCAACGCCGCGUGAGUGAAGAAGGUUUUCGGAUCGUAAAGCUCUGUUGUAAGAGAAGAACGAGUGUGAGAGUGGAAAGUUCACACUGUGACGGUAUCUUACCAGAAAGGGACGGCUAACUACGUGCCAGCAGCCGCGGUAAUACGUAGGUCCCGAGCGUUGUCCGG